ncrna:unclassified sequences RAGATH-27 RNA
UUCACUGCUUAUCGAAAACUUUAAACUAUAAUCUAUAUGUCCUUUUAGCUGGGUUAGACAUAUAUAAAACAAUAAAGAAACCACAGCA